rnacentral:rRNA from 1 species
UACGGAGGGUGCGAGCGUUAUCCGGAAUUACUGGGUUUAAAGGGUGCGUAGGCGGCUUUGUAAGUCAGGAGUGAAAGUUUGCGGCUCAACCGUAAAAUUGCUUCUGAUACUGCAUAGCUAGAAUCAGGAUGAGGUCAGCGGAAUGUGGCAUGUAGCGGUGAAAUGCAUAGAUAUGCCAUAGAACACCAAUUGCGAAGGCAGCUGGCUAGACCUGUAUUGACGCGAGGCACGAAAGCGUGGGGAGCGAACAGG